GUUUGAUCCUGGCUCAGAGCGAACGUUAGCGGCGCGCCUAACACAUGCAAGUCGCACGAGAAACGGAGCAAUCCGCGGUACAGUGGCGCACGGGUGAGUAACACGUGGAUGACCUUCCCUGGAGUGGUGGAUAACCUGCCGAAAGGCGGGCUAAUACAGCAUGGGACCACGACGCUUUGGCGAUGUGGUGAAAGCGGGCCUCUAUAUAUAAGCUCGCGCUCCGGGACGGGUCCGCGUCCCAUCAGCUAGUUGGUGAGGUAACGGCUCACCAAGGCAACGACGGGUAGCUGGUCUGAGAGGAUGGCCAGCCACACUGGAACUGAGACACGGUCCAGACUCCUACGGGAGGCAGCAGUGGGGAAUCUUGCGCAAUGGGCGAAAGCCUGACGCAGCGACGCCGCGUGGGCGAAGAAGG
rnacentral:rRNA from 1 species